GACAGAGGGUGCAAACGUUGUUCGGAAUUAUUGGGCGUAAAGCGCGCGCAGGCGGUCCUUUAAGUCUGAUGUGAAAGCCCACGGCUCAACCGUGGAGGGUCAUUGGAAACUGGGGGACUUGAGUGCAGAAGAGGAAAGCGGAAUUCCACGUGUAGCGGUGAAAUGCGUAGAGAUGUGGAGGAACACCAGUGGCGAAGGCGGCUUUCUGGUCUGUAACUGACGCUGAGGCGCGAAAGCGUGGGGAGCAAACAGG
rnacentral:rRNA from 1 species